AGCUCCAAUAGCGUAUAUUAAAGUUGUUGCAGUUAAAAAGCUCGUAGUUGGAUUUGGGACGGGGGUCGCGCGGUCGGCCGCGAGGUCUGUUACUGUGCGGCCCCGUCAUUUCACUCUCGGAGACCCGUCGUGCACUUCGCUGUGCGCGGCGCGGGACUCGGGACGUUUACUUUGAAAAAAUUAGAGUGUUCAAAGCAGGCUUUUUCAAGCCCGGAUACAUGAGCAUGGAAUAAUGGAAUAGGACCGCGGUUCUAUUUUGUUGGUUUCUACGACCGCAGUAAUGAUUAAGAGGGACAAUUGGGGGCGUCCGUAUUUCGUUGUCAGAGGUGAAAUUCUUGGAUUUACGAAAGACGAACAACUGCGAAAGCAUUCGCCAAGAGUGUUUUCAUUAAUCAAGAAC
rnacentral:rRNA from 1 species